rnacentral:rRNA from 1 species
AUGGACGCAAAUGCAGAGCCAACUAAGCUAUCAUUUCCAUUCAUAAGAUAUAUCACACAAAAAUUCCGUCAAGUGAUCGGUCGUGGUGGGUUCGGAGUGGUUUACCUGGGAGAUAUCGGAACUGGGAAGGUUGCUGUGAAGAAACUCUCAAUAAUGCAGAACUUUUCUGAGGCGACCUUUCUGGAUGAGAUUAAUUGUUUAAUAAAGGCAAAGCACACCAAUAUAGUGAGAUUUCUUGGUUAUUGUGCGGAUACAUAUGGGGAGUGUGUGCAAUACGAAGGAAGUCUUGUGCUAUCAGAGGUACCACAACGGUUGCUAUGCUUUGAGUAUGUUCCUAAUGGAAACCUUCAGAAGUAUCUCGAAGAUAAGUCUCAUAAAGAUGAAUGGAAAAUACGAUACCAAAUGAUUAGGGGAAUUUGCAAUGGUCUGAACUAUCUUCACGACCAACGUAUUACUCAUUUGGAUUUAAAACCCGACAAUAUUCUUUUGGAUGCUCGCAUGGAUCCCAAAAUUACAGACUUUGGGAUAUCAAGAUGCUUUGAUGAAGGAAUAACUAGAAUUUACACUAAAAAUGUUCGUGGAACACGGGGAAUUAUUGCACCAGAGACCAUAGUCCAUGGAGAAAUAACAUUUAAAUCAGACAUAUAUGGCUUGGGCAAUAUAAUCAUUCAUCUAUUAACAGGGUGUAACAAAUAUGAUUUCGAUAAUGUAAGAAUAAUUUACUUUUCCAUUUCAGUUGGUGUUUUAUAA